AAAAAAACCUAAACCUAUCGCCCGCACGUACGAUCGACGACUCCUGCCCUCGAGCGAGGUCUCCCUUCGCCGCCGCCGCUCCACCCAGAGCCGCCCUCUUCCCCGCUGGCGCCGCCCUCUUCCCUCCCACCCCGAGCUGCCAUCUUCCCCGCCCACGCCGCUCUCUUCCCCGCCGGCGCUGCCCUCCACUCACCUUCUGUUCUUCAAGCGGGGACGCCCCGGAUCGAGUCGAGCAAGUCAGCGGGGCAGCGGCUAGAUCCGCCACGGCCACAUCUCGUCGAGAUGGGCUGCACCGGGAGAGGUAGAUCGAGGCGGCGGGCAACGUGUGCGUCUUGUCUCUUGGGACGCCGCUCCGACCCGAUCCAGCGAGGAGGCAGCCUCCGUGUGCGGCAAUGAGGACGGCGGUCGGCUGCGCGAAAGGUCGAUCUGAUUGUGCCUCGUCACACCCCUUCCCUGGGCUGCACUUUCUUUGCCUGUUAAGCAAUUGAUAUACAUAGUGGAGCAAGAAUUAACACCAUGGAAGGGGAGAAAUACAGUACAGGCACUACGUAUUUUAAAUUUUGCAUGUGGGCUCAGGCGUGGCAGCAUCAGCGGCCUCCGACGCUCCUCGGCUCAGCCGCCGCCGACCUACCAUGCCCAAAAUCCUCGCGAGCAGUGUCACUCCUUCCCCUCACCGUGUUCCUUUUUUUACUCAGUUGUGCAACGUCAAUGGUCUCUACCCUGAAGAGUCAAGAUUACAUUGUUACUGACUUGCAAGGCUCUAUUAUGUUUCGAGGUGAAGAAGUAUUUACCUCUUGAGUUCUUGAUCAUUUUCUUUGGUUUGGCUCUAUAUGCAACCCUUUCGUACCAUUUACCUGCAUUAACUUGAGCAAUAAUAUCUAUACCAUUUACUUUACUGUUAAUUACAGAAGAAGAUAAAACCAAUGAGUUAACU